rnacentral:rRNA from 1 species
GAUGAACGCUAGCUACAGGCUUAACACAUGCAAGUCGAGGGGUAGCAGGGCCUAGCAAUAGGUUGCUGACGACCGGCGCACGGGUGAGUAACACGUAUCCAACCUGCCCUAUACUCGGGGAUAGCCUCUCGAAAGAAAGAUUAAUACCCGAUAGUAUAAUUAGAUCGCCUGGUUUGAUUAUUAAAGAAUUUCGGUAUAGGAUGGGGAUGCGUUCCAUUAGAUUGUUGGUGGGGUAACGGCCUACCAAGUCUUCAAUGGAUAGGGGUUCUGAGAGGAAGGUCCCCCACACUGGUACUGAGACACGGACCAGACUCCUACGGGAGGCAGCAGUGAGGAAUAUUGGUCAAUGGGCGAGAGCCUGAACCAGCCAAGUAGGAGUCUGGUCCGUGUCUCAGUA